CGCCACGGGAAUACCAGCUCCCCGAGUGGUGGGGACGGAUUAUUUGGUCCUAAAGACGUCCGUAGCCGGCUCUGCAAGUCUCCCGUCAAAUACCAACGAUCUAAUCGUUGGGGCUGCGGGAGAUACUGUAGAGCUAGGGGUGGGAGAAGCUGACGGUACUCUCGGGGUAGGGGUGAAAUCCUAUAAUCCCGAGAGGACCACCAGUGGCGAAGGC
rnacentral:rRNA from 1 species